rnacentral:rRNA from 1 species
AGUGAACGCUGGCGGCAGGCCUAAUACAUGCAAGUCGAACGGCAGCACAGCAGAGCUUGCUCUGUGGGUGGCGAGUGGCGGACGGGUGAGGAAUACAUGGGAAUCUGCCCAGUCGUGGGGGAUAACGUAGGGAAACUUACGCUAAUACCGCAUGCGCCCUUCGGGGAAAGCCGGGGACCUUCGGGCCUGGCGCGAUUGGAUGAGCCCAUGUCGGAUUAGCUAGUUGGCGGGGUAAUGGCCCACCAAGGCGACGAUCCGUAGCUGGUCUGAGAGGAUGAUCAGCCACACUGGAACUGAGACACGGUCCAGACUCCUACGGGAGGCAGCAGUAGGGAAUAUUGGGACAAUGGGCGCAAGCCUGAUCCAGCCAUGCCGCGUGAGUGAAGAAGGCCCUCGGGUUGUAAAGCUCUUUUGUCCGGAAAGAAAAGCGCCGGGUUAAUACCCUAGUGUCCUGACGGUACCGGAAGAAUAAGCACCGGCUAACUUCGUGCCAGCAGCCGCGGUAAU